AACCCACACAAGCGUGCUUAGUAGCACGUAAGAAUAGGACGCUCACACCAUUUGAAUACUGUUUCUCCAUACUUUUAGUACGGGUAGUAUGCGCUUUCGGAUCCAGGCUCGCGCAUAAGCACACAGCUGCGUGCGUGCACGAGGAGCUGCGCAGGCGCGUGGAGCUUCGAGCCACCAGCUACCGGGCCAACAUGGAGAGAAAAGUUCUCGCCCUCCAGGCCAGGAAGAAAAGGGGCAAAGCCAAGAAGGCAACCAAAAAGCCAGUUCAUCAACCGAGAGGAGUGUCGCAGCAGCAGCAGCUCCUCCCUGCAGAACCUCAGCAGCAGGAGCCUGAUGAGGAGAUUCUGGGAUCCGAUGAUGAGGAGCAGGAAGAUCCUAACGACUACUGCAAAGGUGGCUACCACCAUGUGAAAAUAGGUGACCUGUACAAUGGGAAGUACCAUGUGAUUCGUAAGCUGGGCUGGGGCCAUUUUUCCACUGUGUGGCUUGCCUGGGACAUUCAAGGGAAGCGAUUUGUGGCAAUGAAAGUGGUGAAGAGUGCAGAGCACUAUACAGAGACAGCCCUGGAUGAGAUAAAGCUGCUGAGAUCUGUAAGGAACACUGACCCUGAUGAUCCAAACCGAGAGAUGGUGGUUCAGCUGUUGGAUGACUUCAAAAUCUCUGGGGUCAAUGGAACUCAUGUGUGCAUGGUAUUUGAAGUGUUGGGACACCAUUUACUCAAGUGGAUUAUCAAGUCUAACUAUCAAGGUUUACCCCUCCCUUGUGUCAAAAGCAUCAUUCAACAGGUUUUGCAGGGCCUUGACUACUUACACACAAAGUGUAAGAUUAUCCACACAGAUAUAAAGCCAGAGAACAUUCUGAUGAGUGUGGAUGAGUCAUAUGUGAGAAGACUGGCAGCUGAAGCCACAGAGUGGCAGAGAGCUGGCGCCCCCCCUCCCUCUGGAUCAGCAGUGAGUACAGCACCAGUACCUAAACAAGCAUCCAAAAUGUCGAAGAACAAAAAGAAGAAGCUGAAGAAGAAGCAGAAGCGACAGGCAGAGCUGCUGGAGAAAUGCAUUCAGGACCUGGAAGAAAUGGAGAAUGGGCUUGAGGGUGCAGAAGAGGAGGAGGAUGACCCACAAUCUCCUAAGUCACCUAUUUGUGCACCUCUUAGACAUGCCUCUAUGCAGGACAUUGGUGAAGAGGAAGUAAUAGACCCAGGUAACCCGAGAGAGCGUCUGACCUCGGUUGCCUCAGAUGAGCUCAACUGUAAUGGCUUCCUGCCUGGCAGCAAAGCACCACCUGACGAAGAAGUAGAUCAAGUCAAGGAACUGCAGCUGAAGCAGGAGGACCAGCACAAUGCUAAUGCAGGACCUUCAAGGGACCUGUCCCAGAGCCCUUAUGAGUACUGUAACGGGCUGUACUCUGAUGAACCUGGUCAGAGCCAUAGUAAUGGAGACGUGAGGGAGGAGGGAGAAGACGACAAACUUCAAGAAAGGCCAGUGCCUGCCAGAGACAAGCAGUCCUCACCACAGAAUGCCAAGCAGGCAGCAGGGAACCUUCUAGUCAAUCCCUUGGAACCGCUAAAUUCAGACAAGAUCAAGGUCAAGAUUGCUGACUUGGGCAAUGCAUGCUGGGUGCACAAACACUUCACUGAGGACAUACAGACGAGGCAGUAUCGCUCCCUGGAGGUGCUGAUUGGUGCAGGUUACAGUACACCAGCUGAUAUAUGGAGCACAGCUUGUAUGGCAUUUGAACUGGCCACUGGGGACUACUUGUUUGAACCCCACUCUGGUGAAGAUUACUCCAGAGAUGAAGACCACAUUGCUUUGAUCAUUGAGCUGCUGGGGAUGGUCCCACGCAAACUCAUAAUUGCGGGAAAGUACUCCAAGGACUUUUUCACCAAGAAAGGUGAUCUGAAGCACAUCACAAAGUUGAAGCCGUGGGGUCUGUUGGAGGUGCUGUUGGAUAAGUAUGAGUGGUCCCGUGAGGAUGCCGAGACCUUUGCAGACUUCCUGCUCCCCAUGCUUGAACUCAUCCCCGAGAAACGAGCCACGGCGGCUGAAUGCCUGCGCCACCCCUGGCUCGCCCUCUAGUGGCUCUCAUAAACCACUGCAGCCCUGUUUUCCUCCACUUCCACCCAAGAGACUGCAACAUAUCACGUUCCAGUUUGAGUGCUUACCUGAAUAGUACUUGUACUUAUUUGUUUGUGUGUGGUUUUUUUUUUUUUGUAUGUUUCACCUGAGAAAUGCUGUGUUUUCCUGGUGGUUUUAUGUCUUGAGACUUAUUUCCUGAGGUGGCGUUUGUCCUCAAACUCUACUUUUCCCUCUAAAUUUGCACAACAGUUUUAGGGAACAGUUCUUGUAUUAUUCAAGCUGUGCGUUACAUGCUAAAAGGUCAGAUUUCUGUAUUUUGCUAGGAUUUAACUGAACAUGGGGUUGAUGUAAGGGCACAUAUUGUGGGUCACUUUGUUACAUGUUUACUAGUUUAGGGAGUACGCUCACCAGAGAGAGAAAAUUAACCAUUAGGUUUGUCAUGACUGUAGAAAAUGCAUUUAAGUGAUUUGUAGUUUAUUUUAGCAAAUGCCAUACCACUGUAAUUUUGUCUCAAAAAGUGUCAGUUACAUUUUUUGUACGCAUCAUUUUUUUUUAUCAAAUCUGAGUACACUUGGAGGGUUGCUUUCUCUGCUUCCAGAAAAUGAGUAGCUGUUAAACACCACCCAGAUGAUUGUUGUGAAAAUUCAAAUUCAUCAGGCAGCAGUUUGUCCUGUCGGUUUCCCAGUGUGAAGGCCACAAGUGCAAGCAUGAGUGCAUCCAGGAUGCAGAUGAGGGCCAAAAUGUAGGCCCAGCGCACUGUGCAGUUCCCCAGUGUGUACUUGCUCGUCCGCUCACCGCACAUCCGCUUUACUUCAGGAGAGUCCCAUCCAUCAGGGUAAAUCAUACAGCCCAUCACCAACAGCACAGCUACAGGAUGGAGAACACAUUGAGCAGAACAUGCAUUCACCAAGUAUGGCAACAUUAUUUUUUGUGAAUUCCUUGGUUAUUUUUAAUGGUUUCUUGGCCAGUACACAUCUUAUCUGUUGGUAGGAAUAGAACACUGAGCUUUUAUUCACAGUGGAUCCAGAACCCAUCCUGGGAACACUGGGCAUGAGGCAGUAACACCCUGGAAUGGAACGCCAGUCCAUUGCAGGGCACCAUGCAUGCAUGCAUUCACAUCUAGGGGCAAUUUAUCUUAGCCAAUCCACCUAUUGGCAUGUUUUUGGGGGGUGGGAGGAAACCAGAGAACCUGAAGGAAGCCCAUGUGGACACUGGAGAGAACACGCGCACACAUUCCACAACGAUGGUCACCUGAGAUUAACAUUGAACCCGGGGCCCUGGAGUUUACUUAAAGGAAUACUUAGUUGAGGAUUAUUCUGUUUUGGUAGGGUUGGAAAUGAAGUUAGGAAGCAAACACAGCUAUUGCUUGGGGCCCUAGGAAUCUCAGGAUCUCUGACGUAACUUAUGCUAUAUUUUAGCCUAUAGAGGAGGAGUUGUUGUUUAUUUUUUUUUCUUUUUAGAGUAACCCUGUAUUAGGCAGUUGAGUCAAUAGCAUGCAAUCAUUCAGCAUCCAUUUUAGCAGCUUAUUAUGAGUGGGUUUAGACUUGCCUCCAGCGGUGUUUGAACUAAUAUUAUUAACCAGGUUUGACAUGUUUCAGCAAAAUUUCCAGCUCAUCUACACCUCAAAAAACCACACAAAAUACCUGAAACUAGCCCAAACAUUUGGACCUUGGAAAAUGGAGAAUUUCUUCUUUUUCUCAGCCUUUGAUUUACUCGUCGUUUGAGGUGCAGUGUGUUGUGUUGGAGUCGACCUCUUCCACGCUAUUCUGUGCUUUGAUCUAUAGGCCACCUAACCCGGACAAUGCCUUUUUAAGUGAUUUUUGUGAUUCUUUAACUUCUAUUGUUCCGUUGUAUGAUCGUUUGUUAUUAUUGGGUGAUUUUAAUGUGCAUGUCUGUUGCCCUGGUCGACCCUUGGUUACUGAAUUUUGUAAUAUCUUGGAUUCCUUUGGUUUUAUUCAACACAUAAAUCAGGCAACUCAUGUCCUUGGUCAUACACUAGACCUUAUAUUGUCAUAUGGAACCGCUGUUGAUAAUGUUAAUAUUGAAGAUGCUUCCUUCUCUGAUCACAAGCCCAUUGUUUUUAAGGUCCCUGCUGCCAACUCUGCCAUUAUGACUAGGCCUUCAGGAUAUUAUUCUCGUUGUAUUAAUUCACUCACUGCCUCUCAGUUUAGUGAAAGUUUUCUAGCUAAUGCUGUUGAAACAUCUAUCUUGAGUGCUGUAGAGUCUUGAUGAUUUGAUUGCCUUAUUAUACUCAUUUUGCUCCAAUAUUUUAGAUUCCAUUGCCCCUUUUAAACUGAAACAACCAAAUCGUAAAUCUUAUUACUGGCUGGACGAUAAUACUCGUUCUCUCAGACAGACUUGUCGUAAAGCUGAGCGGAGAU